GCCUGGGUAGCUCAGUGGUAGAGCAAAGGACUGAAAAUCCUUGUGUCGUGAGUUCAAUUCUCACCCUAGGCACAA
rnacentral:tRNA from 1 species